UCCAACUCCAGAAAAAUGUUGGAUGAAAGCUGUGAUGACAAACUAUUUUAAUUUGUUCUUAACUUGAGCGUGAAUUUUCCUAAAAUUUCACAGGGUUCUCUGGUUGUGCCUGAUAACACUACAUUGCCUCCAGUGGCUGCUGGAAGAUGAUGCUGUUUCUCUGCCCUGCAGUAGGAUGGUGGCGAUCAAUGUUCUAACCAGGGCAUUGUAAGGAAAUUAAAAGGA